UACGUAGGGUGCGAGCGUUAAUCGGAAUUACUGGGCGUAAAGCGUGCGUAGGUGGUUUGUUAAGUCUGAUGUGAAAGCCCUGGGCUCAACCUGGGAACGGCAUUGGAAACUGGCUUACUAGAGUGCGGUAGAGGGGUGUGGAAUUCCCGGUGUAGCAGUGAGAUGCGUAGAUAUCGGGAGGAACAUCUGUGGCGAAGGCGACACCCUGGACCAGCACUGACACUGAGGCACGAAAGCGUGGGGAGCAAACAGG
rnacentral:rRNA from 1 species